rnacentral:rRNA from 1 species
UCCUACGGGAGGCAGCAGCUAAGAAUCUUCCGCAAUGGACGCAAGUCUGACGGAGCGACGCCGCGUGGAUGAAGAAGGCCGUGAGGUUGUAAAAUCCUUUUCUUGGGGAGGAAUAAUCGUGACAGGGAAUGGUCGCGAGAUGACGUUAACCAGGGAAUAAGCCCCGGCUAAUUACGUGCCAGCAGCCGCGGUAACACGUAAGGGGCAAGCGUUAUUCGGAAUCAUUGGGCGUAAAGGGUGCGCAGGCGGUGAAUCAAGUUUGGUGUGAAAGACCUCAGCUUAACUGAGGGGACGCGCUGAAAACUGAUUUACUAGAGUGGUUUAGGGGAGACUGGAAUUCCUGGUGUAGGGGUGAAAUCUGUAGAUAUCAGGAAGAACAUCUGUGGCGAAGGCGAGUCUCUGGGAACCAACUGACGCUGAGGCACGAAAGCGUGGGGAGCGAACAGGAUUAGAUACCCUGGUAGUCCACGCCGUAAACGAUGUACACUAGGUGCUUGACUGUCGCGGUUGAGUGCCGAAGCUAACGCAUUAAGUGUACCGCCUGGGGAGUAUGGUCGCAAGAUUGAAACUCAAAUGAAUUGACGG